GAGACUGAGUCUUGUGAUACUGCGUCCCAAGUCUCGCGAUAUCAGGGUCUCUCGUGGACCUGAGGCUCACAGAUCUGUCAUAGUGGUCGGAGGAACAGGAGUCAGAACGUUGUAUGCACCUGGGAGGCAGUGAUGGAUACAGACUUGUGGCAACAGCUGCCACUUGCACCUCCAGCUUCCCAAAGUCCCCAUGCAGCCACCCAGGCCUCCCUCUCCACUCCUGCCUCCUGAGACAGCUGACCCACCCAGGAAUGUUGUGAGGCAGACGUCCAGAGCCUUGAAAACCUGGUAUCUUCAAUGGGGGACCAGUCUACAAGGAGAACUGCUGAACCACCAGGGAGGCAAGGCCACCAACCCCAAUGUAGGAUGCCUGUGGGUGCUUUGGGCAUCCACAUAUGGGAGUUGCCUAAUCACCAGGUGUUUCUGUGAAUAAUUGAGAAUAAAGAGAAAUUACAUGUCA